GGUUAAGCGACUAAGCGUACACGGUGGAUGCCCUGGCAGUCAGAGGCGAUGAAGGGCGUGCUAAUCUGCGAUAAGCGCCGGUAAGGUGAUAUGAACCGUUAUAACCGGCGAUACCCGAAUGGGGAAACCCAGUGUGAUUCGUCACACUAUCAUUAACUGAAUCCAUAGGUUAAUGAGGCGAACCGGGGGAACUGAAACAUCUAAGUACCCCGAGGAAAAGAAAUCAACCGAGAUUCCCCCAGUAGCGGCGAGCGAACGGGGAGGAGCCCAGAGCCUGAAUCAGCAUGUGUGUUAGUGGAAGCGUCUGGAAAGRCGCGCGAUACAGGGUGACAGCCCCGUACACAAAAGCGCAUGUGCUGUGAGCUCGAUGAGUAGGGCGGGACACGUGGUAUCCUGUCUGAAUAUGGGGGGACCAUCCUCCAAGGCUAAAUACUCCUGACUGACCGAUAGUGAACCAGUACCGUGAGGGAAAGGCGAAAAGAACCCCGGCGAGGGGAGUGAAAAAGAACCUGAAACCGUGUACGUACAAGCAGUGGGAGC
rnacentral:rRNA from 1 species